rnacentral:rRNA from 1 species
CAAUAGCGUAUAUUAAAGUUGUUGCGGUAAAAAAGCUCGUAGUUGGAUUUCUGUUGAGAGCGACCGGUCCAUACCAUGUAUGCGUAUCUGGCUUGCUCUCGGCAUCCUCUCGAUAGACGUUGCUGCGCUUGAUUGCGUGGCGCGGAUCUCGGGACUUUUACUUUGAGGAAAUUAGAGUGUUCACGGCAGGCUUUCGCCAGAAUACAUUAGCAUGGAAUAAUACUAUAGGAUCUUGGUUCUAUUUUGUUGGUUUCUAGAAUUGAGAUAAUGAUUAAUAGGGACAAUUGGGGGCAUUCGUAUCAACACGUCAGAGGUGGAAUUCUUGGAUUGUGUUGCGACGAACUACUGCGAAAGCAUUUGCCAAGGAUGUUUNCAUUGA